rnacentral:rRNA from 1 species
GACAGAGGAGCCAAGCGUUGUCCGGAUUGACUGGGCGUAAAGCGCACGCAGGCGGUUGCGCGCGUGGGGUGUGAAAGCUGGUGGCUUAACUGCCAGAUGCCAUCCCAUACGGCGCGACUCGAGCCCGUGAGAGGUCCACGGAAUUGCCGGUGUAGUGGUGAAAUGCGUAGAUAUCGGGAGGAACACCAGUGGCGAAGGCGGCUUUCUGGUCUGCUCUUGACGCUGAGGCGCGAAAGCUAGGGUAGCAAACGGG